rnacentral:tRNA from 1 species
GGCGCUGUAGAACAGUGGUUAGUUCGGCGGGCUCUCAAUCCGCAGACCGGGGUUCGAUCCCCCGCAGCGCUACCA